rnacentral:rRNA from 1 species
GACAGAGGGUGCAAGCGUUAAUCGGAAUUACUGGGCGUAAAGGGCUUGUAGGCGGUUAUCUAAGUCGGAUGUUAAAGUCCCCGGGCUUAAACCUGGGACGUGUCAUUCGAUAACUGGAUAACUUUGAGUUGGAUAGAGGUAAGUGGAAUUUCCGGUGGUAGCGGUGAAAUGCGUAGAUAUCGGAAAGGAACAUCAGUGGCGAAGGCGGCUUACUGGAUCCAAACUGACGCUGAGGAGCGA